GACAGAGGGUGCAAACGUUGUUCGGAUUUACUGGGCGUAAAGCGCGUGUAGGCGGCUUUACAAGUCGGAUGUGAAAGCCCACGGCUCAACCGUGGAAGUGCAUCCGAAAUUGUAUCGCUGGAGUCCCGGAGAGGAAGGUGGAAUGCUUGGUGUAGAGGUGAAAUUCGUAGAUAUCAAGCAGAACACCUGCGGCGAAGGCGGCCUUCUGGACGGUGACUGACGCUGAGACGCGAAAGCGUGGGGAGCAAACAGG
rnacentral:rRNA from 1 species